CGUGAGAUGUUGGGUUAAGUCCCGCAACGAGCGCAACCCUUGUCCUUUGUUGCCAGCGGGUAAAGCCGGGAACUCAAAGGAGAACUGCAGUGACAAACUGGAGGAAGGCAGGGAUGACGUCAAGUCAUCAUGGCCCUUACGGUCAGGGCUACACACGUGCUACAAUGGGGCGUACAGAGGGAAACGAUACCGCGAGGUGGAGUGGAACCCAAAAAGCGUCCCUAAGUUCGGAUUGGAGUCUGCAACUCGACUCCA
rnacentral:rRNA from 1 species